UUGACCUCGAAUCAGGUAGGACUACCCGCUGAACUUAAGCAUAUCAAUAAGCGGAGGAAAAGAAACCAACAGGGAUUGCCCCAGUAACGGCGAGUGAAGCGGCAACAGCUCAAAUUUGAAAUCUGGCCCCCCGGGGCCCGAGUUGUAAUUUGCAGAGGAUGCUUUUGGCGAGGCGCCUUCCGAGUUCCCUGGAACGGGACGCCACAGAGGGUGAGAGCCCCGUCUGGUCGGAUGCCGAGCCUCUGUAAAGCUCCUUCGACGAGUCGAGUAGUUUGGGAAUGCUGCUCUAAAUGGGAGGUAUAUGUCUUCUAAAGCUAAAUAUUGGCCAGAGACCGAUAGCGCACAAGUAGAGUGAUCGAAAGAUGAAAAGCACUUUGAAAAGAGGGUUAAAUAGUACGUGAAAUUGUUGAAAGGGAAGCGCUCAUGACCAGACUUGGGCCCGGUGAAUCAUCCAGCGUUCUCGCUGGUGCACUUUGCCGGGCUCAGGCCAGCAUCAGUUUGCCCCGGGGGAUAAAGGCUCUGGGAAUGUGGCUCCUCCGGGAGUGUUAUAGCCCUCUGCGCAAUGCCCUGGGGCGGACUGAGGUUCGCGCAUCUGCAAGGAUGCUGGCGUAAUGGUCAUCAGCGACC
rnacentral:rRNA from 1 species